rnacentral:lncRNA from 10 species
GCCUCUUAACAUUUCUGUUUUAGAAUAUCAUCAUGUUCUGGUGAACUGGAAUUGUGAUGAAAGGAGUUUGGAUAAGAAGUAAAUUGGGGCAAGCUAGCCUGCUUUCCACCAGAGCAUCUCCCUCCAAAGAUGCAAGUGUGUGGAAAUGAGACUGCAGGGAGAACUUCCAGGCAACAAAGGAUGUUUCUCUACUUAUCUCCUCCCUGGAUGGCUGUAUAAGCCAGAUGACGGCUACCUGAACACUCUAGAAAAAGUGAAUUCACAGAGGCUUUCACAGGGCACAGCCUCGCAGUCUGGAGGGAGAAGAGGGCAAAGCAGUCUUCACGGAUGCCACCUACUGCCUAGCUGGGCAGAGAGCCAGUGGAUCAGAGAGGCCGGCUCUGUUCUUGGCAGGAAAUGAGGGGCUGGCAUGGAAAUGCCACCCAGGCUGGGAACAAGAUCUGUGGAGUGGCAGCCUGAGUGGGUGAGCUUGAUCUGCAGUCCUUUCAUCUCAAAGAGAAUGGCCAGCAAGGAGCCCAUUCAUGGAGCCUUGUUGGACAACUCCACCUACACAGUCUUCAGUGGUGCUCUGGAGAACAGAAGCUGACAACAGGCUAUGGUGAUCCAGAGUCCUCACCGUCUACUCUCCCAUCCCUUCAACCAAACUUUCCUGGGCAACUCUGAUGCCAGGCAUUUCUAGCACUGUGACAGAACCUGGUGGAGGACAGAGGGCUCCACUUCAAAGGUGACCUGAAGUCUCUGAACAUUGAGAUUCCUCAUUUGAUGAGCAGGAAUAAUAGCCAAAUGAACCUCGCCAUAGCUGCUGUGCAGCAAAUACCAAAUGUGUGGAUAUGGAAGCAUUGUGUGCUGUUUGCAUUUCUAUCCAGGUUCUCACAUUAGGGACAAUCAUUGCUAGGGUCCAGGGUGUCACUCACCUUCCUUCCCUCUAGGGAGCUGACAGAUGGGGUAUAUGCACAAAGAACAGUAACCAAAUGGGAAAAGAUGAACUACUUUACUAAACAUCAUAGCAGUGCCAAGCUCUGGCAAAAGCCAGAUAGGCCAAAUCCUGAAACAGAAUCCUGGGAAACAAAUCACACUUCCCCUGGCCCACAGGGAGAGAGGAAAAGAGAGAGAUGGCCUGGCAUCCCUGAGCACAUGUCUGACCAACCACAGGGUAUGGGCUGUAGGCCUAUCUCAGCCUCUAAGGUGCAAAAAGGAACAGAGAAAACCAGGGUGUUCACAUCUGGUUUUAGAAGGGUCCAGGUGUAUGUAGGAGAGGAAUAACUUUUCCUAUGCCCUCUUAAGUUCCGUGGCCAGCUGGGCCUGACAAUUAAGUUGACAUAGACUAACAAGAUAAAACCAUACGAAUUUUAUUUAAUAUUUUUGUGUGUACAUGGGAGCCUUCAUAGGAAAAAUGAAGAUCUGAAGAAGUGGUUAAGACCAAGAGUUUAUGUACCUUUUUAAACAAAGAUUAAUAAAUUUUUGAAGAAGUGAUGAGACAAAGAAAAAGGGUGUUAAAUUUCUAAGUGUGGUAAUUUGUGGGAAAAUGAUGAGGAAAUAUGUGGGGGAAAACUAAAGCAAGAGAAGGAUUAUUUUAGUAGGUUUGUUUGUACAGAUCCAUUUCAGCAUUUGACUCCUAGUCUCUGGGUAAGAGUAUUCUCUAUCUGAUGUAGGAGCCAAGGGGUUGGCCCUCUGAAGGUUUACUGAAAAAUCACCUCACAAAAGGCAGAUUAAUUGGGGGAAAAAAAAUACAAAUCUAUGUAACGUGUACACAUGGGAGCCUGCAGAAUGAAGAUCCAAAGAUGCAGGGGAAAUUGUCCAUUUUUAUGUUUAGGUUCAACAAAGUAUGGACAGCCAUGUAGAAAUAUGAUUGGACAAAAAGGGUCUGAUCUAAUGCUAAUAGAUUGAGUAUGGAAAUCCAGCAAGGUCUGUCUGUCUAGAUUCUUCUUGACAUCUCUGAGCAUGCGUUCCUUCCUCCUGGGUGUAGGACAGGUCUCCCUCUGGAGUAGAAUCUUACGACCUACAGUUAAACAAAGUAGAUUGGAUAAUUUCUUCAUGGCCAGUUUUUACAUAGAAAGGUAGAGGAAAAUUAGAGUAAUACUUUUAAGUUAUAUUGCUGGCUUUGGGGAAAAGGAGUUCUGGUUUCUGAGACAACCCUCAGGGAACAGGGAUUCUCAUUUUUAUGGCUGGCCUCAGGGGGGAAUGGGACUGAGAGAGAGAUGAGGGCAGGAGAAGGUCAGAGAAACACUUUCACUUCCGAGGCCUUCAUUUUGCAAUAUUGCUUUCCAAGCCUCAACGUGGGUACAAGGAGGACACCUUUCUCGUAGAAAAUCUUAUGACCUGCUUUUAGGUAGAAAGGGAAGGUCAGCGAGCCCUUCCUGCAUCUGCUGCUUCUCAAGUGCCUUCAGCUCAAAAUAUCUCAUAUGCCAAACGGGCAUAUUUUGGGGUGGCAUGUUUUGAACUCCCUCCUGUGCUUUGCCUGGGGACAAAAAGGAGACCCCCUGGCUUUCUGCAAAAUAAAUGAGAAGGGACCGUGCUUUUGAAGGCCCAGGACUUGCCUCAAUAGUAAGGGUGGCUACUGCCAUGUUAGGCUUUGACCUAUCGAUUUCCUACCUGAGGUUUUUUAUGGGAGGCAGGAUGGCUCUUCUUGUUGUUCUUUUUCUCCCUGUCCUAUAUAUAGGGCAAGGGACAGGCAUGAGAACUUUUUGCCUCAGCAAUAUUUGACCCUGAUUCAGAGAGCUAGGUGCUGGGGACUUCAUCUCUCUUGAAAGUCAGAAUCCUCAACUCAACCUCAAUGAAGGCCCAGGUGCUAUUGGAAGUAUCUGCAGAAUCACAGUUUCAUUUGCCAGAGGUGUGGGAAGUAAGAAGGACAAAGGAGGUCAUGAGGGAGGAAGUCAGGUCUGGGAAUUCAGAUCUAUCUGCCAAAUAACUGAUCAAUUAGUGUUGCUCAAGUUGAAAGGCUGCCCUGUUGGACAACUUCCUUUGUCAUCUCUUUUCAGUGGAAAGAAAAUGAAUAUUGAUCCUGUUCUUGGCUCCAUGCUCAGCCCCUUCAAAUGAAUAUGAUUGGGUUUUCCCAAUGUAGUGGGUGACACUCGGACGUUUAGGGGUAAUUGCAUCUUCUCAGAACUCAGCCCUUGAAGUGGGGGCUGAUUGAAGUGAGUCUGAGAGGAUUUGGGGGUCACUAGAGGUUAGAAAAAGGCAGCUUCAGGUCUCAGAUGGUGUCAGACUGGUUUUCUGCAUCCUCAAGGGGCAGGCUUUGAACCUGAGUCACCUUAGAACUGGCUCAAAAAUUAAGUUUGCAGAAGCUAAAAAAUGGUUCCAAUGAAUCGUGGGAGACCAGAAUAUGCCACCCCAAAAUAUGCCUCUUUUGCAUAAGGAUUGUUGAGCUGAAGGCAAUUAAGAAUAAGCAGCUGCAGGAAAGCUCUCUGCCCUCCCUCCAUUUGCCUAAAAGCAGGACACAGAUUUACAAAGACAAAAGGUAUCCUGUCCCUACUUCUAACAAGGAGAACACAGGAUAAACUUUGAAGACAACUUUAGAUCCUUAUUCCACCUGGAGACAGCACCAGAGGAAUCUGCAUUAACAAGCUUUACUAACUAACAUUUAUCUGCCAUUUAUUUGCCUUUCCACAAGUCGCUGCCCCUAGAGACUCAAAGUCCUUUUUCUUUGUCUUUUCACAUCUCUAAAAAUUUACUGUUCUUUGUUGAAGAUGCUAUAUAAGCUGAACUUCAAAGACACUUCUUGGACUUCAAGGACACCCACUCAUUCUCUGGGUGUCUCCCAUGCAUGUGUGAAAUAUAUAUAUUAAUAAAUGCCUUUUUGGUUUUCUU